rnacentral:rRNA from 1 species
GAUGAACGCUGGCGGCGUGCCUAAUACAUGCAAGUCGAGCGAAUGACGAGGAGCUUGCUCCUCUGAUUUAGCGGCGGACGGGUGAGUAACACGUGGGUAACCUGCCUGUAAGACGGGGAUAACUCCGGGAAACCGGAGCUAAUACCGGAUGAUAACGAGAAGCGCCUGCUUCUUUUUUGAAAGUCGGUUUCGGCUGACGCUUACAGAUGGGCCCGCGGCGCAUUAGCUAGUUGGUGAGGUAACGGCUCACCAAGGCAACGAUGCGUAGCCGACCUGAGAGGGUGAUCGGCCACACUGGGACUGAGACACGGCCCAGACUCCUACGGGAGGCAGCAGUAGGGAAUCUUCGGCAAUGGACGAAAGUCUGACCGAGCAACGCCGCGUGAGCGAUAAAGGCCUUCGGGUCGUAAAGCUCUGUUGUCAGAGAAGAACAAGUACCGGAGUAACUGCCGGUACCUUGACGGUACCUGACCAGAAAGCCACGGCUAACUACGUGCCAGCAGCCGCAGUAAAAC